AAUAAGGAACAGGUGAGUCAUCGAAUCUUUGAACGCACAUUGCGCCCAUUGGUAUUCCGAUGGGCAUGCCUGUUCGAGCGUCAUUUCAACCCUCAAGCAUUGCUUGGUGUUGGGGCACCGCCUGUAAAAGGGCGGGCCCUGAAAUCUAGUGGCGAGCUCGCCAGGACCCCGAGCGUAGUAAUUAUAUUUCGUUCUGGAAGGCCCUGGCGGUGCCCUGCCGUUAAACCCCCAACUUCUGAAAAUUUGACCUCGGAUCAGGUAGGAAUACCCGCUGAACUUAAGCAUAUCAAUAAGCGGAGG
rnacentral:misc_RNA from 1 species